UCCCAGUCCUUCCUUCAGCUCGAGGCUCCUUUUUCAUGUCAGCCAAUGCCCCACAUGUUCCAAUAAGCCCUGAGCGGGAAGUUGAAUGUGCUUCCCUUUGCAGCACACAUUUCCACUUCUGUAGGAAGACAAGUAGAGCAAAUUGGGUUACAGCGGAGAAUGACAUUAAGGUAUCAGUGGGAUGGGAAGCAUGAACUACCUAGAAUACUGUUACUGAGGAUGAACUGAGUGCAUUGAAUUACCACUCUGGAACCUCUCCUUUUUCCCAGAGGAAUUGGCUCCAUCCAUUGAACAGAUAAGGAGCCUGGGGCACACAAGAUGGUAAGUUAAUUUUACCUAAGACUUCACUAGGGUAAGAAGUACUAUCAGAGGAUUCAACAAUACUAACUGAUAAUUCUUGGCAAGUAGUUUGGACCACUUUUUCAAGAAUAAAGAUUGUAUUUUGAAGGAUAGAAAGAAAAUG
rnacentral:lncRNA from 12 species